GUGGAUUUUUAGAUUAACUAAUUGCCGGUAUGUGUUGCUUCAUUAGUAAUCGAUGCAUCGUAAACCCUAUCAUGGUGGUCUAAACCUUCAGGUAAAAUACAGAAAAGUCAGUACAUCCCAGGACAUCACAGAGAAUAAUUUAAAAGACGACUGCAUUCUAAAAAUUUCUUCAACCUGCAAAUACUACUUUCAAGCGUGACAUUAUUCUCAGUAAAACAAAUGUAAAUUUUAUAUUAUAUUCUUUAUAUCAUAUUGCACAUCUGUAUGUAACAACUUGUCAUAUACACAAUAUAUACAUUAUACAAUAAUAUACACAUUUAAAGGAGUCAUACAUUCAAUACAGCAUAGCUUACAAAUAAUACAUACUACUAUAGUAUAAAUAUAAACAUAAUGUAAAUCACUGCGUAUUUUCUGAAUUUCAUUGAAUAAUUCAAUA